rnacentral:tRNA from 1 species
CUCUGGAUAGCUCAGUUGGAAGAGCGACGGACUGUAAUUGUUACGAAGUUAUCCGCAGGCCGUGGGUUCGACUCCCACUCCGGAGA